rnacentral:rRNA from 1 species
GACGUAGGAUGCGAGCGUUGUUCGGAUUUAUUGGGCGUAAAGCGUGCGUAGGCGGUUCCUCAAGUCCGUUGUGAAAGCCCCGGGCUCAACCUGGGAAUGGCAGUGGAAACUAGGGGACUGGAAUCUGGCAGAGGGGGGUGGAAUGCCGCGUGUAGCAGUGAAAUGCGUAGAGAUGCGGCGGAACACCGAUGGCGAAGGCAGCCCCCUGGGCUGAGAUUGACGCUCAGGCACGAAAGCGUGGGGAGCAAACAGG